rnacentral:rRNA from 1 species
CGUUCCCGGGUCUUGUACACACCGCCCGUCAAGUCAUGAAAGUCGGUAACACCUGAAGCCGGUGGCCUAACCCUUGUGGAGGGAGCCGUCGAAGGUGGGAUCGGUAAUUAGGACU